AGGCAAGAGGCAAAAAGAAAGGCCAACUGUGCCGGCCAGGCAGAACGCCAAGGUUCCGUGGGCAGAGGUGCCGUGAGCACUGGGGGCCCCAGGGGAUCAGCAGGCACCUUCCUGACUCUGACUCCCAGUGGCCACGUACCUGGGCCCUGCUUUCCAGGUGCUGGGCCGCGGGACUGAAUGUGACAGCUCCACCUUACUGUAAGGCCCGUGAUGCACGGAGAGGCUGGGAGUAGAAGCCUUGGGCACACCCCAAAGUGCUCUGGGAAGUCAUCCCUGCUCUCUGGGGGUCAGAGGCCCGGCUCCACUGUAAGGGACACAACAGUGGCACUAGGAGCGUGAGCCCUGUGGCUGAACUCGCGGCAGGGCUGCUCAGCCUGGGCGCCAUGGUCCUUUGGGCAUUGGGCGUGGUUGUCCUAUACACUGGAGAAUGCGCGGCACUCCUGGUCUGUACCAGCAGACGCUAGCAGCAGUCCCACUCCAGAUGUGACAAGCCAAAGCGUCAUCCCAAACGGCUGCCCAGGUGUCCCCUGCAGGGCACACCAGCUGAGGCUGGGAAUUGCUUCACUGUGUACCCCUCUUCCUCAGCGUGAUCCUCACCCCGCACCCUGAGGGAGGAUGAGCUCUGCACGCCCCCACUUGACAGGUGGAGACUGAGGCCUGCUGAGGAAGUGUCUAGCCCUGGAUGACACACAGAAGUGAUGGUCAGGCGAUGAAUCGAGUUACGGCCACCAGGCUGCUGAGACGAAAAUGCCAUCUCGGGGAGAGAGGAAGGUGCCUCCCGUCUGGUUCCUGGUGAUACAGUGGGUUCAGAAGAUGACGCGGGUUUCAUCCAGCUGGAAGGGGACAUUCAAGUUGAGUAGCACUUUGCUGACUGGGAAGCUGCAAACUGAGCUGCCUGCCACUGACUGGAGCCCCUAAGAGCCAGCGGACCAGGAAUCAAAGUGCCAUGGUCUCCAGGUGACCAGGUCAGCCGCCCAGGCACAGAGAAGCAGAGGGGGGUGGGAAACAGACGUGAUGGAAUGAGAAGGCUUGUAUCCAGAUGUACCCCGGAGCCUCAUGUGUGUGUGUGUGUUUUUUAGGUACUGGGGAUGGAACUCAGGACCUUGCGCUUGCAAGGCUG